UAAAAUAUCUUCAGUAGACAGAAACAGCUGGACCACUUUAAUAACAUUUCUCUUUUCUCUGAAUCGUCACUGCCAUUAAAAGCAGAGCUAUUCAUAUUUGCAGAAAAGACUCUGGCUCCCACCUUGGGAGCUGCUGUCAGAUAUUUAGAUCGUACGCUCCAUUCCAUAGUAGAAAGGUAAAGAGAUAGGAGAGUGAGGCUAGCUUUGGGCAUCCCUUAAGCCCUAAUGUGCCUACAACGACACUUUUAGACCUUUGUUGAUGUACAUUAAUUGUUUUUCCAGCUGGUGGAGCUAAGACAAUAGGCCUUUAGAAAGCAGAGCCUACCCAAAAGAGCACGAAGAAAGUCUGGUAGUGUGCCUUUUUUGACACGUGUCGAGGUGUGUCCAGUAUGUAUCUGGCCGUGUCGGCGGCGUGUCCGUGUCGGACACCAGUACAACACUGGUAUGAGGGGAUUUUUCCCGUGUCGGUGCUUCAUAGAUCCGGUGGGAUGCUCCAAUGGGGUUGACGCAGGCAGGUUAGGUUUUCGGGCCGACACAUGUAGGAGAGAGGGUCAAGAGGUUUUAAAGGAGAAGAUGAAGAGAAGGGAAAUGAGGAAGAUAAGGAAGAAAAUGAUAAAGAAGUCUAAGUGCAGCGUGUUCUUAAGGAACAGGAGGAAAGUGGAUGCGAAGAUGUUACAGACAUUAGAUGAACAGUACGCCAUGUGAUUGCAGUGCAAAAGAAUCAAUGGAGUUUUGGGGGUAAUGGGGUUUUUUCUCUACUUCUCUUGCAAUGGCUAAGCUAUUUCUUUCUUUUUCUCUCUCUAUAUUUUAACAAUAUUCCAACACAAGCUUUUGAUGUUUUUGAAAAUGUCGAAACUAAUUUUAAAAGGGGUUGUUUGAAAGACGGGGAUCGAAUUUUGAAAAAUGAAAAUGGGAGUCGCGACUAAUCUUUUAAAGUGUGAUUGGAUCACUAUAUAAAACAUUUUGGUCUACGAAAUUGUGAGAAAACAGGUUCGGGAGUCAGUUACGUUCGAGGAAGGAUUAGCACCAUUGUAACGCCUAAAAUUAGUACCAAAUUGGAUAAUUUUUGUCUCAAUGCUAGAAUUUUGAGAAUAUUAAAAAAAGUGUGGUUUCUUUAUUUUUGUAAUAAUUAAAAUUAAGAGAAUCGAGAUUCAUUCGCUUUGAAGGAAUAAUAAAUAUCACAUUCAGCAUAA